rnacentral:lncRNA from 1 species
ACCUCACCAAGCUUCCAAGUUAAAUUUGCCAGUGGUGAGGAUGCUCAGGUCUUGAAGCUGAAAAAAUAAAAGUCAAGAGCAGCCCAAAAAGAAAGAAUUGAAAACUCUGCUCUUUCAAGGAGCUCUGGCUGUAGUCCCUCAGGGUCUGCCUCUGACUGGCGGCAUGCUGCCUAAUGCUGGUUGGUAGAACCGGUGCAAUUUUGUUGAUCCACUACAAUUUCCUCGAGUGGAAAGUGAAAAGUUAAAUUUCUUAGUUGAGUGGAAUGAAUCAUGUUACUUGGGGGCACAGAAUCCAAUCAAUGAGCAUCUCGUGGUUCAGGAUCUGAAAGGGUCAAACUGCUAAGCUGUCUCUUGACAAUAUCUCAUGGACCACCUUUGA